CACUAAGAAGCUAAACUGGUCAAGCCCUAGCCUUUUAAGCUAGUAUUGGGGAACACACCAACCCCCUUAGUGA